UAAGGAAUAUUGGUCAAUGGACGCAAGUCUGAACCAGCCAUGCCGCGUGCAGGAAGACGGCCUUAUGGGUUGUAAACUGCUUUUGUCAGGGAAUAAACCCUCGUUCGUGAACGAGGCUGAAGGUACCUGAAGAAUAAGCAUCGGCUAACUCCGUGCCAGCAGCCGCGGUAAUACGGAGGAUGCGAGCGUUAUCCGGAUUCAUUGGGUUUAAAGGGUGCGCAGGCGGAUUAAUAAGUCAGUGGUGAAAUCCUACGGCUCAACCGUGGCACUGCCAUUGAUACUGUUAGUCUUGAGUAUAGUUGAAGUGGGCGGAAUGUAGCAUGUAGCGGUGAAAUGCAUAGAUAUGCUACAGAACACCAAUAGCGAAGGCAGCUCACUAAGUUAUAACUGACGCUCAUGCACGAAAGCGUGGGGAUCAAACAGGAUUAGAUACCCUGGUAGUCCACGCUGUAAACGAUGAUCACUCGUUGUUGGCGAUACACAGUCAGCGACUAAGCGAAAGUGAUAAGUGAUCCACCUGGGGAGUACGGUCGCAAGAUUG
rnacentral:rRNA from 1 species